rnacentral:rRNA from 1 species
GAUGAACGCUGGCGGCGUGCCUAAUACAUGCAAGUCGAGCGAACAGACGAGGAGCUUGCUCCUCUGACGUUAGCGGCGGACGGGUGAGUAACACGUGGAUAACCUACCUAUAAGACUGGGAUAACUUCGGGAAACCGGAGCUAAUACCGGAUAAUAUAUUGAACCGCAUGGUUCAAUAGUGAAAGACGGUUUUGCUGUCACUUAUAGAUGGAUCCGCGCCGCAUUAGCUAGUUGGUAAGGUAACGGCUUACCAAGGCAACGAUGCGUAGCCGACCUGAGAGGGUGAUCGGCCACACUGGAGCUGAGACACGGUCCAGACUCCUACGGGAGGCAGCAGUAGGGAAUCUUCCGCAAUGGGUGAAAGCCUGACGGAGCAACGCCGCGUGAGUGAUGAAGGUCUUCGGAUCGUAAAACUCUGUUAUUAGGGAAGAACAAAUGUGUAAGUAACUAUGCACGUCUUGACGGUACCUAAUCAGAAAGCCACGGCUAACUACGUG